CUACAAACAACAAUCCCAUCACAAAGAAAGAAAUGUCUAUCUUGCAUGUGUGAUUAAGGCUUGUUUUGCCCAGGGUUGGACAUAACAAGUGUGUA